UACGUAGGUGGCGAGCGUUGUCCGGAUUUACUGGGCGUAAAGAGCGCGCAGGCGGUCGUCCAAGUCGCGUGUGAAAGCCCCCGGCUCAACUGGGGAGGGUCACGCGAUACUGAUCGACUCGAAGGCAGGAGAGGGUAGUGGAAUUCCCGGUGUAGUGGUGAAAUGCGUAGAUAUCGGGAGGAACACCAGUGGCGAAGGCGGCUCACUGGCCCGAUACUGACGCUGAGGCACGAAAGCGUGGGGAGCAAACAGG
rnacentral:rRNA from 1 species